AAGCACAGAAAUGGGUUGGCGGCAAAGACAUGCAUCAGACCAACUGUUGAGUUUUAACCCUUGGCCAUGGGUCAGUACAAUGUAAAAGGAAUUGGAAACAAGAGAAGCUUUUCUACAACAAGACUGUAGAAACUGAUCAGAGAGAUGCUGCUUUGGCCAACUGUCCAACAUCUACUGAAACAGAUAUAGCAAGCUUCAUAGGUUAAUAUUUGAAACAAACAUGCUCCAAGUAAGCUCUUGAGGGAGCAUGAGAGAGCGGAAUGAGCAGCGAGGCAAGCCACAACAGCUGAUAAAUCAGAUUAAACUGUAUGGGGGGGAGUGUGUGUAAGCGUGUGUGUGUGUGUGUUUGUGUGGUUAAUUUAGUCUGAUUAAAUAAUACUAAAACCCUU